AAUAUAGUAGCUACGGCAUGCCUAACACGCAGGAUCUCUUGUGAACGCGUGAUUCUCAGUCCGUGGUGAUUGAGGAUGAAUCUCAAUUUCAUCUCAAAUUGAAGAUAACAAGAGCUAACUUGAUUUGAAACAAGGAAUAAGUAAUUAGUUCGAAUAAAGAUGAAACGUCGAUCUUAAAUCCCACGAUGCUUUCUUCUUCCAAAUUCCAAUCACAAGUAAGACCAAUUCUCACUAUCGGGACAGGACAGGGGACAAAAUGUACCUGCCAAACGGCCCUGCCCUGCCCUAUCCUGACCCAAUAAUGCGAACCGGGCAUGAUCCAGCUAUCAGAUUGUAAUCGAUUGGUUGGGAUGAAUGGAUGAUUUGUUGAUCUCCGAUCGAUGAUAU